GUGUGAAUAGCUCAAUUGUUUAGGGCAUGGUGCUGGUAACGCCACGGUUGCAGGUUCGAUCCCCAGAUGGGGCAGCUUCGCAUU